AAUGUCAAAAUUUCUAAAUUUUAUGGUAAAUAUAAUUUUUAAAUGAUUGCUUACAAUUGUAUUUUUUUAAAGUAUUUAUUUUUAAUCUAGAUUUUUAUUUAUUUUAAAAAAUGUCAAAAUUUUUAUAUUUUACCGUAUUAUUUUUGUUGAGCAUUCUCUUUCUAUAUUACUCAAAUGGCUUAGCUCUUAAGGAUACGAAUGAAGUACGUGAUUCGAAUUGCUCUAAUCCUUGCCUUCUCUUUCAUUGCCCUUACACACGCGAGGAAUAUAAAGAUAACAAAGGAUGCACAGCAUGCAGAUGCGUUGAUUAUUUUUAUAUAAACCCUUGAAUAAAUAAACCUAUUUGAUGAUAGACUUGACGUUGUUUGACUUUGCAAAUUUAUAUUUAUAUGUCAAUAAUAAUUUAUCAAUUAUAUAUGUAUAUUUUCAUUAUAUUUAAUAUUACACUAUGUAUUUUAAAAAAUGUUAUACGUGAAAAAUACUAUUUUUUUCUCUUGAA